AGCAGCCGCGGUAAUUCCAGCUCCAAUAGCGUAUAUUAAAGUUGUUGCAGUUAAAAAGCUCGUAGUUGAAUUUCGGGAUCAAUGUUUCGGUCAUGCCCUUGGUAUGUACUGAUAUUAUUGGUUUCUCACCUUCUAAAGAACCGUAAUGCCAUUAAUUUGGUGUCACGGGGAAUUAGGACUGUUACCUUGAAAAAAUUAGAGUGUUUAAAGCAGGCUCACGCUUGAAUACAUUAGCAUGGAAUAAUGAAAUAGGACAUCCGAUUCUAUUUUGUUGGUUUCUAGGAUCGAUGUAAUGAUUAAUAGGGAUAGUUGGGGGCAUCAGUAUUCAAUUGUCAGAGGUGAAAUUCUUGGAUUUAUUGAAGACUAACUACUGCGAAAGCAUUUGCCAAGGAUGUUUUCAUUAAUCGAGAACGAAAGUUAGGGGAUCGAAGACGAUCAGAUACCGUCGUAGUCUUAACCAUAAACUAUGCCGACUAGGGAUCGGAUGAUGUUAAUUUUUUAAUGACUCA
rnacentral:rRNA from 1 species